rnacentral:lncRNA from 1 species
AUGCCAGGGGUGCCCAGCAGCAAGGACCUUGGCCUCUGGCAGGUGUGGUUGCAGACAGAGCUGUGUGUCGAAGCCAUCACCCCACUGUGGCUAUGUGGAGACCACCAAGGUGACCUGCGUGACCUGUUGGUGCCUGCUCCAACACCACUGGGGGCUUUACAAGGAGAGGAGGGGACCCGAGGAGGCCCCAGCACAGAGAAGGCCAGGGAGGACCAAGUGAGGAGAGCCAUCCCAGCUCCAUCUGAGCGCCACAUCGAUUCGCUGUCAGUUUCUGUGUUUCCCUGGUCUUGAGGAUGUCACGGUGUUCAGCCCGCUGAGGACGCAGUCUCUUCCUUUUCCUGUUGCAGACGGAGCCAGUCACCCUCGCGUUCCCUCCACCCCUGUCAGUCUGUCAUGGGCUACGCCCUGAUGGCUUAGUUCCAAGAAUGCCUGGCUGAGGUCGAGUUCCUGUCCAAACAUUUGUCCCUUGCAGUGAGUGUCUUGGGGCUCGUCCUCUGACAGAUUCCAGGAGGGGAUUGUUGCCUGAAAGUCCGGAGUGCAGUGUCUUUGUCUUCUGCUUUUGCUUUUCGCAGUUUGCUUAUGAUGGACGUAGGCACUGUACUGACGUUCUUGCGCAUCUGUCAGAAUCGGUUCCAGGGACACAUCCGGUAACCGUCACCUUUGGACACUGAAAUCCACAAUGCUCAGAGUCUCGUUUAGAAUGAGGUCGUUUUGCUUGUCCCCCACACCUCUCGAGGACAACACCACGUGUGCGUAGUUGUUUGUGUGCUGCUGAGGGAAUAAGGACAACCCACUUGCUCAGGCUCAGCCCACAGCCCAGGGACCUGUGCUCACCCAGUCAGAGGUUUCCUGAACUCCUUGGCAUUGUGCGCUGCUCCAUCUCAUUGGCUGCACCCAGUUGGGGCUCUCGUCUGCUCACAGGCAUCUCUGUCUCGUUGUCCCUCACACAUCUGACAGAGGAGUCGUAGGAGGGGAAGGAAGGCCGUAUCCGACCUGAGCUGCUUAUUAACUGGUUCUGUCCUCUGGGUCUGCAAAUGCAGGACCUCACCCUGGAGGGCAUCUUCUGCAGGGGUCCUGAGCCUACUGCUGGUCUGUCAUCAGCCCCGCACGCCAGCCCUCAAUUGUCCCCAGCAUUGGCCCUGGGCUGCUGUCCUUGGUUCAGUCCUGGAGGAUGAGCCAGUUCCCACAGGGCAUCAGCCCUGCCCACCCUCCUUGGGCACCCUGGCCAGCCCCACUCCAGUGAGCUACGCCCUGCCCUUUUUAAAAGACAGUGCUUUCCCGGCAAGCAAGAGGCCCUGGGUUCUGUAUGCAGGACUACAAAAAGGAAAGAGAGACAGUUUUGCCAAAUAGUUCUCAAAUACUCUCAGUCCACGAUUGGCGGAAUCCCUUGUUGCUUGGAUCUUAAUACCCUUUUCAAGG